GACGAACGCUGGCGGCGUGCCUAAUACAUGCAAGUCGAGCGAAUGGGUGGUUGGGUGAGUAACGCGUGGUUAACCUGCCCUUAAGUCUGGAAUACCAUUUGGAACCAGAUGCUAAUACCGGAUCCUAAAGGAUGAGGUUGCGAUGCAUUAGCUAGUUGGUAAGGUAACGGCUUACCAAGGCGAUGAUGCAUAGCCGAGUUGAGAGACUGAUCGGCCACAUUGGGACUGAGACACGGCCCAAACUCCUACGGGAGGCAGCAGGAGGGAAUCUUCCACAAUGGACGAAAGUCUGAUGGAGCCACGCCGCGUGAGUGAAGAAGGUUUUCGGAUCGUAAAGCUCUGUUGUUGGUGAAGCGGUAAUCAACCAGAAAGUCACGGCUAACUACGUGCCAGCAGCCGCGGUAAUUC
rnacentral:rRNA from 1 species